rnacentral:rRNA from 1 species
UACAGAGGGUGCGAGCGUUAAUCGGAAUUACUGGGCGUAAAGCGUGCGUAGACGGUUUUGUAAGUCGGAUGUGAAAUCCCCGGGCUCAACCUGGGAAUUGCAUUCGAGACUGCAAGGCUUGGGUGCGGAAGAGGGAAGCGGAAUUUCCGGUGUAGCGGUGAAAUGCGUAGAUACCGGAAGGAACAUCAGUGGCGAAAGCGGCUUCCUGGUCCAGCACCGACGUCAGGCACGAAAGCGUGGGGAGCAAACAGG